rnacentral:rRNA from 1 species
CCCUUAGACACUCUAGGCGGCACGCGCGCUACAAUGGGUGGAAGAACGUGUUACUGCCUCCGAAAGGAGGGGUGAAUCACGAAUUCUUUCCCGUGAAUGGGAUAGUUUGUUGCAAUUUUCGGACUUGAACUAGGAAUCCCUUGUAAACAUGCUCAAGAAUAGCGUGUUGAAUACGUCCCUGCCGUUUGUACACACCGCCCGUCGUUUCUUCCGACUGAUACUCAUUGUGAGUUGCAAGGACCCUUUAUUGGGAAAUUGCUGCAAAUGCUUUGUAUUGGAGGAAGAAAAAGUCGUAACA